GUGCUCGCUUUGGCAGCACAUACACUAAAAUUGGAACGGUACAGAGAAGAUUAGCAUGGCCCCUGUGCAAGGACGGCACGCACAUUUGCGGUGUUCCAUAUUUUU
ensembl:snRNA U6 U6 spliceosomal RNA